rnacentral:rRNA from 1 species
ACGGGAGGCAGCAGUGGGGGAUAUUGCACAAUGGGGGAAACCCUGAUGCAGCGACGCCGCGUGAGUGAAGAAGUAUUUCGGUAUGUAAAGCUCUAUCAGCAGGGAAGAAAGCCUCGCAAGAGGGAUGACGGUACCUGACCAAGAAGCCCCGGCUAACUACGUGCCAGCAGCCGCGGUAAUACGUAGGGGGCAAGCGUUAUCCGGAUUUACUGGGUGUAAAGGGAGCGUAGACGGAUCGGCAAGUCUGAUGUGAAAGCCCGGAGCUCAACUGCGGGACUGCAUUGGAAACUGUCGAUCUGGAGUACAGGAGGGGUAAGCGGAAUUCCUAGUGUAGCGGUGAAAUGCGUAGAUAUUAGGAGGAACACCGGUGGCGAAGGCGGCUUACUGGACUGUAACUGACGUUGAGGCUCGAAAGCGUGGGGAGCAAACAGGAUUAGAUACCCUGGUA